rnacentral:rRNA from 1 species
UACGGAGGGUGCAAGCGUUGCUCGGAAUUAUUGGGCGUAAAGGGGAGGUAGGUGGUCUCAUUUGUCUAGGGUGAAAUCCUCGAGCUUAACUCGAGAAGGGCCCUAGAAACGGUGAGACUGGAGUCCUGGAGAGGGUCGUGGAAUUCCCGGUGUAGCGGUGAAAUGCGUAGAGAUCGGGAGGAACACCAGAGGCGAAAGCGGCGGCCUGGACAGGUACUGACACUCAACUACGAAAGCGUGGGGAGCAAACAGG